GGAUCCUGCCACUGCAUUAACUUCCUUUGUCAGCCAGCACCGAACUAAAAAUGGCUCUAUGCAGCCAAGAUUAGCUCUACAAAGGUGAAACUCCUUUCGGCAGAGGGAGGUGUGGUGUGAAAUGAAUGUGCUAGAGCGAGGAUUUCUGAAACGUCUGGCAUUUGUACCUCGUGCUAUCCUCAGAACCCUCAUGAUUCUGAUUAUGGUGGGGUUGAUGGGCAGAGCGGCGCUGAUCUCAAUUUCCUCCAGAGUGAUGCCCAUUACUGACAAGAGAACAAUGGCGAGGUCCAGCUGAUUCCACCUAAUGCAGAGCCCAAAUAUAUGCAAUCAGGAUGCAGUUCAAACCUCUCCACAUUUUGCUUAUGAAAAGCAACACAUUCUUUUAAUUUGUAAAAUAACUGCAGGUAAUUUUUUUAAGAUUUUCUUUUGAUUUAGGCUGCAUUUAAGCUAAUUUCCUGUCAUGCAUUCUGUCUUGAUGUAUUGUUGUACCUGAUAUAUUAGCAUGUAAAAGGCUUAAAAGUAGAAAAUUAAAAAUGUGUUACGCUCUAUUUUUUUUAGGUGCAGGCUUUUAACUUGACUUUUAUUGAAGUUCAAACAGUAAGAGGUUUCUUAAAUGACUUUUAAUAGCUGCAUCUGGUUGUCUGCUGUCACAGUGUUUCUUAUCUUACUAUACUCUGUUAUUGAUGACAAAAUGCUGUUGCUGAGCAAUAACCUACAGCUUAUAUGACAAGUUGUUCUUGUUAUUUAGUUACUGAAGUUCAGCUUAGGCUGCAAGGCCAAAUAAAGAAGAGAAAGUCAGAAAAAUUCUAGAUCUGAGAUCACAAAAUGAGGCAUCUGCCAUGAUUGAACAUUUGGCAGGGUUAUGCAAUAAUGGUGUGACACCUGUCAUCUUUGAAUCAUCAAGCUUUUCAUGAAAGUUUUCUCUGCUGCAGUGUGACUUCCUGUCAGUGAUUAUUUGUCCUAUGCUCAGUUUUUCUUCCUCCUCAAUCCCACACGUUCCAACUGUAGCCAUAUUCGAGACAGUAGAAUUUCCUUUAAGCAGUGCCCAUGAUAUUACUUUUUUUUUUUUUUUUUUUUUU